rnacentral:rRNA from 1 species
AUUGAACGCUGGCGGCAUGCUUUACACAUGCAAGUCGAACGGCAGCGCGGGGGCAACCCUGGCGGCGAGUGGCGAACGGGUGAGUAAUGUAUCGGAACGUAUCCUGUAAUGGGGGAUAACCAGUCGAAAGAUUGGGUAAUACCGCAUACGCACGAGAGUGGAAAGUAGGGGAUCGCAAGACCUUACGUUAUAGGAGCGGCCGAUAUCUGAUUAGCUAGUUGGUGGGGUAAAGGCCUACCAAGGCGACGAUCAGUAGCUGGUCUGAGAGGACGACCAGCCACACUGGGACUGAGACACGGCCCAGACUCCUACGGGAGGCAGCAGUGGGGAAUUUUGGACAAUGGGCGAAAGCCUGAUCCAGCCAUGCCGCGUGCAGGAUGAAGGCCUUCGGGUUGUAAACUGCUUUUGUACGGAACGAAAAGACUCUUUCUAAUAAAGAGGGUCCAUGACGGUACCGUAAGAAUAAGCACCGGCUAACUACGUG